UUAUGUCUAUGUAGCAUCCUUAAGGAAUAGCGGAAACAUGUCUUGGAAGCAUUUUAUGGUCACGUACCCACAAACAAUAAUAAAAUGAACACCGUCCUAUUUUUCCAAACAAUUUCAGGGGUUCAUGGAAUUGAAAUAUCCUCGAAAUUUUACAUUAAGUCACAACGGUCGUCAAAAUAUUCAAAGUGCAACGAUGAACGUGUGGCUCCUC
rnacentral:lncRNA from 1 species